AAGUCACCCCUAUGGAGCAGGACUUGUUUCAGUGGGGCAUUGGUACUCACUGAAUCUGCCUCUUGAAUGUGUCUUU
rfam:Myotis brandtii contig237694, whole genome shotgun sequence.